rnacentral:rRNA from 1 species
AUGGCCACAGAGCCUUUUGUGCUCUCAGGUUUGGCUAGAUUCCAAGUAUUUGGAUUUUUUGGGUCAAUGAUCUGGCUAGGUUGGCUAGGUUCCAAAGCUGGCCACUUCUCUGUGGCCUUUUGUGCUGCCUUGCUUGGACUCGAUGGGAGAGAGAUAAGGGUUGGGCUAGGUUCCAAAGAUGGCCACUUUUCUGUGGCCUUUUGUGAUGCCUUGCUUGGACUUGAUGGGAGAGGGAGAAGGGUUUUGCUAGGUUCCAAAUAUUGGGAUCUUUUGGAAGUUAAGGAGAGUUUCACUUCAUGUAGCUACUACACUAGGAGAAUUGUAUGCUUGCGCCGAGGAAAAUGUUAUGCCGACCGUGGACAAGUGCCCUGA